rnacentral:piRNA from 1 species
AGAUGUCUCAAUGUUGGCCAGGUCUC